rnacentral:lncRNA from 1 species
UUCAAGGUGGUUUGUGUCGAGGAAAGAACUGCAUGGUACUGCAGCUUGAAGAUUGUUGUUUGAGAAGACCCAUCUAAAAUUCCGAAUUGUGUAUGACCUGCAUACAAGCUCAAGCAAGAUGUUAAGUGUUUAGUUCCCGUUGUUAUUGUUCUGGUUAUGACUUGAGAUUCUACAAGCUUUGUAUUGUAAUAUAAUGAUGUGUUGUUAUAGCUUGCGCCCAUUAUUACCCUUGUGGACUUCAGUAUUUCCUCAUGUGUGUUCUAGUACUUGUUUGCAUGGCUGGUGUUCUAGUCUUAGCGCAACGCAUUACAAGCACUCUCACGACGCGUUUGGUUCACCUAUGGUGACGUAUGCAGCUUUGUUAUCGGAUGCACUGUAUUAGGUGGUGUAUUGAGUGAACACGUGAUCUGUUUGGUUCAACAACGGGAUGCAUUCUCAAUACAAUGCAACGUUUGGUUGACCCAUGCAUUGGGAUUACAUAAUGUAACAGAAGUAGUAUCCCAUCAAAUGAGCAACAAUGAAUGCAAAAAUCAAAUGAGGAACAAUGGGCAAACCUGAAUACCUGAGAAAAAACGUAAUCUAGGCUAAACAUACCUUCCCUUUCGCCCCGCCCGCUUCCGCGAGCGGCAGGACGAAACCCUAGCCAUCACUGCUUGCGGUCCCUCCCCGCCUUCCCUCUUCCUCACCGUCGUCGGCGUGUGCGGCCAGGCAAAGCUUGGCUUGCGUGGACGGCGGCGGGGCCAUCUUCCUCUUCGACGCGGCACGGGAUGCGGUGAUCGGCGGGGGCGCGACGCUCGGCAAGGGGCGUGGCGGCGGCGAGGCACACGAUGAUGCUUGGGGCGCGGGUGGGCGUCCUUGCUAUAGCGGCUGCGUGGGCGCACGCGCGCUCGCCUGAGUCGGGAUGGUGCGAUGUGUGCGCGACGGAUCUGGCGGCGGGGCGCAAAGGUGGCAGAUGUGGUUGGUGCUGGGGCCGUCGGCAAUGUGGCGCUGGUGCUGGCCAUGCCUUGGGAUCGUGGCGGUGACAUGGGGUCUCUGUGACAGUGCGGUGGUGGGUGCUAGAUCUGGUCGGUUUGGCCGGCUCCGGCUCGCCGGCGUUUGCAGAUGGCCAGGUUUGUGGCUCCUGCGUGAGGAUGGCGUCGUCGUUGCACAGGAGGUGUGUGGGACAGCGGGCUUGCAGAUCAGUGGUGCUACGCCGCCGGUUGUGUGGAGGGUGCUGGACGAGGUGGCUUGGGGUGAAAGCCUAGGCGGCACAACGUUCGUGGGCAUUGUUUUUCCUCCCUGGGGGUCGUUAUGGAGCCCUUCCUUGCCUAGCACCUUCGGACCAUGGACAUCGGGCGAAAGCCUAAGACUCCGAAGUGACUCGGGUGAUGGCGUCGUUCUUCCACAUCGUUCUACCCCCUUGGGGGCGUUGCCUUGAGGGUCAUCGGCCUCUUCUGUGCUUUCCCGAAGCUAGACACAGACGACAUCAGGGUCGACAGGUGCCCGACUGGCAAUGUGGUUGGCGUGACUUCUUGUGUGGUUACGAUGCCAGCUUCGGACGGAGUUUGUCUGCUAUUGAGUUUUGGUAGUCGGUCUCAUCCGGCGCAUUCGAGGGGUUACGGCACCUCACUUUGUCUUCCUGGAGUCGGAGCUGGUGAGGCGGGGCCUUGCGGCGACGAUGAAGCGAGCCGGGUGGUCGGUUGUGGCGUUGGCUCGACUCAGGCUCAGUGCUUUUCUCCUACAAUGCUCAUCGACAGAGUCGGAAAUGCCUGAUAGUUGGCGCGUGCGGUUGACUAUUUGGCAGUGGCCGGCGUGGGCCUCGGCGUUUGCUUGCGGUGAGGGCUAUAUUGAUGGUCGUCGAUGGUGGAGUCGGAGUCACCCUUGUGUAGGUGUGAUGGCGAUGACACCAGAUUGCAGCCUCGACGGUGUUCUCUCAUCGACACGUGUGUGCGUUCUUAUGUGGGUUGUCAGGUCGCCUUGUGUGUCCUGUGUGGACGUGUUGUAACGAUAUUCGCCCGGUUUUUCGUUAAUCAACAGGGCAAUUCUCUUCUUCUUAAUUAAUGAGAUGAGGCAAAGCUUGUCUCUCCGUUUAAGAAAAUAUGAGGAACAAUGAAUGCAAUAUUAACACUGAUCUGUACAUUGGUUGAUGCAUAUGUAUUUGGAUUACAGAAUAUAAUGAGAAGUAGUAUCCCAUCAAAUGAGAAACAAUGAAUGCAAAAUUAACACUCAUCUAUGGCUUCCAUGUCAUAUAGGGGUGCAGAUGCAGGGAUGGUUCUAGUCAAUCUGCCCUGCCCGGGACGCGACUGAUGCACGGCAGCGACCCCGCUCUCUAGGGUUCCUCCCACCAUCCCCGCCGUCGCCGGCCGUCCCCGCCCCCUCCCCCUCUCCCCCUCCCGGAUCCGCCCCUGUGUCGCCUCCUCGGGAGGUGGUCGGAGCGGCGCGCGACCCUCCCCUCUUCGGCCUCCCUCCUUUCCCCUUCCCUCCAUGCCGCCGCCGACGGUCGCCCCCGACGCUUGGCUGGGUGGUGUUGGCGGCGGCGGGACUGCCUGUCCCCCCGCGUGCGGCUCCCUGUCCGGGGCAUGGGGGCGGCGGCGGUGCUCCUCAGCUUGGCGACGGCCCGGCGACCCGACGAUAGUGGCCGGUGGCGUGCGAGGUGGUGGUGUGGCCCCUUGGCAGUGAGAUGGCGUGGUGAUGCAGGUUGGCCGGCGGUGCGCACCCGACCCAGAUCUAGGUCGUGCUGGCCCCAUCUGGGUCCUAGCAGGCUGGCCACCGGUGUGGCUUCGUCGUCGUUUGUGUGGUGAGGAGGAGGUGCAGCUCGGACUGGAGGCGGCGACACCGAUGGCGUGCCUGCUGCAGCGCGAUGGCACUUACGGGCGUGGAGGGCCCGACUGGGCCUAUGGGCCUGGUAUGCUCCUGCUAUUGUGUCCGGUCGGCUACCGUCGUUGACGGUGGAGGUUGUACCCUCCCGCGUGCCGACGGUGCUGUGGCCCUAGUCCCGGCUCCAAUUCCCCGUUGUGCAGGCCUCACUUCAUGGUGCCGUGGUGAGACGGCGUGGAGGCUUCAUGACCGCAGUGGCGCAAGAUGGUGGUUGGUUUGGUGGCAGGCUCUGGAGCAUCCGAGGUGAAGGUUGGGAUCGGGGGAAACCCCUGUCGGCCUGGCCGACACCGAUGCGGCGACGUCGGUGGGUGCCGCCAAACCUUCCUAGAGGGCAUCGGGGGCGACCCUUCCUCUUGCCUCGUCACAUACCGGGGGAAACCCUUGGCAGCAGCGUCGUCAUCGUCGCAGUCCUUCUUGGAGGUGUUGAUUGGUACCGGUGCUUCGGAGCCUUGGAGCUUGGUGGGAGAUCUUCGGUGGGCGCAGUGGUCGUGAAGCUUCUUCGUUUCCGUCGAUCCGUCAUUAUCGGCAUUUUUCUCUUGUUGUUCUUUUUCGUUUCUUUUGGGUGUGAUUGUGCUCCUUCCGCCCCAGCACCUAUUGUCGGUUGUAUCGAUUGGUUGCUUUGUAAUACAAAGAUGGGGGAAACCCUUUUUCGGAUAUAUCACAGGUAACUGACUUUUUCUUAUGGAUCUUAACACAUAAAUAUUUGAACAAAUUCAAGCUAACUCUAUAAGAGGGGUCAUCAGUUAAAAAUGCAUUAACAAAUGCAUAAUUAAUAGCCAAUAAAACAUACCAGUUUCUCAUUCUUGAAGAGUAUCAAUAACAUUUUUCAUCUGAUCUUCAUCUGUGAACGUAUUAGCUCAUCAUCACCCCUGGCAGUUCCUUAUCUUCUAAUUGCAUCAUCU